rnacentral:rRNA from 1 species
AGCCGGUCUCGCGAAUGCAUCAGAUUAUAUAUUUGAUCAUGGCUCAGAUUGACCCGCUAGCGGGAUGCCUUACACAUGCAAGUCGAACGGCAGCACGGACUUCGGUCUGGUGGCGAGUGGCGAACGGGUGAGUAAUGUAUCUGGAACGUGCCCAGUAGCGGUGGGAUAACUACUGCUGAAAGCGUAGCUAAUACCGCAAUACUGCCCUACGGGGGAAAGCAGUGGGAUCAGCAAGACCUUGCACUAUUGGAUGCUGGCCGAUAUCUGGAUUAGCUAGUUAGGUGGNGGUAACUCGUGCUCACCAAGGUCUGACGAUCCGUAGCUGGUUUGACGAGGACUGACCAUGUCCACACUGGUGACUGAGACACUGUGCACCANGACUCCUACUGGGAGUGCAUGCAAGUGCGGGAAAUUUUCUGGGACCAAAAUUGAGGGUGAGGAAAACCCCGUUGAUUCCCAAUGGACCCAAUUCACCUCAUGUACUGUUGGUUGCCCGGCAAAUUGGAAAAUGAUGCCU